UCCCAGUUCGGAUUGUAGUCUGCAACCCGACUACAUGAAGCUGGAAUCGCUAGUAAUCGCGGAUCAGAAUGCCGCGGUGAAUACGUUCCCGGGUCUUGUACACACCGCCCGUCACACCAUGGGAGUCGGAAAUGCCCGAAGUCUGUGACCCAACCGAAAGGAGGGAGCAGCCGAAGGCAGGUCGGAUGACUGGGGUGAAGUCGUAACAAGGUACC
rnacentral:rRNA from 1 species